GCCGCGUUGGCGUAGUGGUAGCGCGUCGCACUUGUAACAGUGGAUUGCAUCUCACUGUGCUAUGCGAAGGUCACUCGUUCAAUCCGGGUACGUGGCA